CUCAGGAUCUAUUCUAGCCAGCAUUCUUAUUUUAUUUUCAAAAAUGUAGUAAAAUUAUUUGAUUCAUUUUAUUUAUGACUGCGAAUAUGUUAGCAGACGAGUUUCCUCGUGGCUCUCGCAACUGGCUGCUACACGCGCGCUACGUGCGAGGAGAGCAUGCCUUGUGCAUGGAGCUGGCCGACGACC